CCAUUUAAAGUGGUACGCGAGCUGGGUUUAGAACGUCGUGAGACAGUUCGGUCCCUAUCUGCCGUGGGCGCUGGAGAACUGAGGGGGGCUGCUCCUAGUACGAGAGGACCGGAGUGGACGCAUCACUGGUGUUCGGGUUGUCAUGCCAAUGGCACUGCCCGGUAGCUAAAUGCGGAAGAGAUAAGUGCUGAAAGCAUCUAAGCACGAAACUUGCCCCGAGAUGAGUUCUCCCUGACCCUUUAAGGGUCCUGAAGGAACGUUGAAGACGACGACGUUGAUAGGCCGGGUGUGUAAGCGCAGCGAUGCGUUGAGCUAACCGGUACUAAUGAACCGUGAGGCUUAACCUUACAACGCCGAAGGUGUUU
rnacentral:rRNA from 1 species